UGAGAUUACACAGAGUGCCAGUGACCACUAUUUCAAAUAGAGAUCUACAAUUCACCUCUAAUUUUUGGGGUGGUUUGCAGAAGGAAUCUGGGACGGAGUUAAGGUUUAACACUGCCUUUCAUCCUCAGACCGAUGGAUAGAUAGGAAAGACUAUCCAAACUCUUGAGAACAUGCUACGAGCUUGUGUGUUGGACUUAGGAUGUAAUUAGGAAGAUUAUUUGCCUUUAGUGGAGUUUGCUUACAAUAACAAAUUCUACUCUAGCAUAGGCAUGGCGCUUUUUGAAUCUUUAUACGGACGGAAGUGUAGGUCGCCUAUUUAAUGGGACCAAGUUCGUGAAAGGAAAACUAUUGGGACCAGAAUCAAUUCAGAUUACUGCUGAAAAAAUUAAGUUGAUACGAGAGCGUCUCUACAGCUCGAAGUAAGUAGAAGACUUAUGCUGAUCGACGAAGACGUGAUAUGGAGUUCCAAGUUAGGGAUUAUGUUUUCUUGAAAGUUUUACCUUUGAAAGGAGUUUUCUGUUUGGGACCAGAAUCAAUUCAGAUUACUGCUGAAAAAAUUAAGUUGAUACGAGAGCGUCUCUACAGCUCGAAGUAAGUAGAAGACUUAUGCUGAUCGACGAAGACGUGAUAUGGAGUUCCAAGUUAGGGAUUAUGUUUUCUUGAAAGUUUUACCUUUGAAAGGAGUUUUUUGUUUUGGGAAAGAAGUAAACUUAGCCAUAGGUUUAUUGGGCCUUUUGAGAUUCUAGAGAAAAUUGGUACAUUGGCAUAUCCAGUGGUUUUGCCACCGAACCUUUCAAGGCUUCAUGAUGUGUUCCAUGUGUCGGCGUUGAGGAAGUACAUGACUGACCCAUCUCAUCUCUUGGAUUACCAACCUAUUCGGAUCCCGAAAGAUAUGUCAUACAAGGAGCAACUGAUGGAGAUUCUGGACAGGAAGGAACAAGCUUUAAGAAAAAGAGUUAUACCUUUAGCAAAAGUUUAUUGGGCAAAUCAUUCUGUGGAAGAAGCUACUUGGGAACCAGGCAGAGAUUAAAGAGAAGUACCCUCAGCUUUUUCAAGAAUAAGAUAAGGUUUUAAAUCUCGAGUACGAAAUAUCUCUUAAGGAGGGGAGAAGUUGUAAAACCUAAAAUGUGUUCCAUUUUUUUUUUUAUAUAUACGUAUUUUAU
rnacentral:lncRNA from 1 species